rnacentral:ncRNA from 1 species
GUCAAGGGGUGCUCACAAGUGUGGGCUGAGAUGAUACCCUCGAACCUGAUACGGAUAAUGCCGGCGUAGGGAUGAUA